GGCAGGAUACCUCAGUUGGCAGAGGGUCUGGUUCAUACCCGAACGUCAGUGGGUUCGAUCCCCAUUCCUGCUA